rnacentral:rRNA from 1 species
AACGUAGGAGACGAGCGUUAUCCGGAUUUACUGGGCGUAAAGCGUGUGCAGGCGGUUCGGCAAGUUGGAUGUGAAAUCUCCCGGCUCAACUGGGAGGGGUCGUUCAAUACUACCGAACUUGAGGUCAUCAGAGGAAGGUGGAAUUCCGGGUGUAGUGGUGAAAUGCGUAGAGUAUCCGGAGGAACACCAGAGGCGAAGGCGGCCUGCCUGGGCUGCACCGACGCUGGAGC